CGAUGAACUGCUAGCGUUUUACUCACUGGGAUAUUCAUCGGAAAAAUGUUAAUGACAUUUUGAUAUCACGAGCAGGAAGUGACGGGUCCCGCGAUAUGGAGGUCUUCCUGGAUUGUUCGACGCGACAACGGGCGCCCUGAUGCUCAUCUUCCUCCGGUCUCUCUCCGCUAUGUUGCGCCGAGAAAUGCAGCGACCCCGAAAGGUCCCGUAUCUAUAUAGAAAACAAGAUCCAGCAAGAGCGAUGGAAGUGAAAAAUUCGGCCGGAAUUAUUCGACCGUGGCCGCGGCGGAAUGGCACCGGUUUUAAAUCCCCGUAAACACACGCGUCAGAGGCUCUCAAUGUCGUCUGGAAUAUCCACGACAAGGAAUACGGGGGAUAAAAGAAAAAAAGAAGAUUUGGAAAAAGAAUGCAGAGAGAAUGGAAAGAGAAUGCAGUAAAAGGACGAAUCGAUUUAUUGUCAUGCAGAGAACAAUAAUCUACUGAUCAUCAUGAUCAUCAUUAGAAAUGAUGCAUCAUUAGAAAUAAGAAUCCAGCAGCCCCGAAACCGCGGACAGACUGAUCUUCACGUUGAUCGUCCUCGUCGCCUACGUCAAGCGAUUAUUUCCUAAUAUCUCAAUGCAGCAUGUAAAAGGCCUAUCGUGUAUACUCUCGAUGUCCGCACCGCUACCUUCCUCUGCUUCCACUCUCGGCUCUCCUCCAGCUUCUUUCCUCCACCGUUUCUUUUUCUCGAUAAGAAAAGGAGGAGUUUGCCUGCAUACCUCGAAGCUAUGCAGUACACAGAUGCAGGCAGAGCGUCAGAGAGAAACGAUGUACUUAUACGGACGCCGAGAGAAAAAGGAGAGAGGCAUCGGGACACAUAGAAUACUCCAGAGAGAAUAAUAUCGAGAUAUGUUCUAAGGGAACAUAAACAGAAACAUCUAAUAAAAUCAUCGCAAGAUACGGAACGAAUUAACUCCUAUUUAUUUGGAAGUAAUCCUGAUAUAUAUUUUAAAUAUGAUCAUCAUUUCAAACAUGAGGCGGACACGUGAAUUGAAAGUUUGAUGACCUUUAUACGCCGGGAGAGAUUAGGUAAAUUGUAGGCGUGCCAGUACAGAUAGAUACUAUGGGGGAUCAGCCAAUGUGGAAUAGCUUAAAGAGGAUAUAAGGCGAGUCGCGGUGGCGCCGUGCUCGAGAAUUUACACGACAUACCUCUGGCGAGUUACAGCACAUAAAUGGACAUAGGGUAACAAAAAAGGAACAAAAAGAGAAAGUGUCGCGACGAAAGCUAUUGGACUACCUGAAACACCCGACAACCAUAAAUCACUUGUCAAAAUACACUCGGGUGUAAGAAACAGGACAUUUGGUCGACUCCGCUUUUAAUAAUUGCCGAUGAUGAAUCGGCUGAGCCUAAAGCUCUAACAAACCUGACAAUGACAACGACAACAGCUGUUUCUCGACCGAUCCCAACGAAAUGACAUUCCAAAAGAAUUUUGUGUUUUUUUUACGAAUCUAAAA